UACGAAGGGUGCAAGCGUUACUCGGAAUUACUGGGCGUAAAGCGUGCGUAGGUGGUGAGUUAAGUCUGUCGUGAAAGCCCCGGGCUCAACCUGGGAAUGGCGAUGGAUACUGGCUCGCUAGAGUGCGGUAGAGGAGAGUGGAAUUCCCGGUGUAGCGGUGAAAUGCGCAGAUAUCGGGAAGAACACCAGUGGCGAAGGCGACUACCUGGCCCAUUCUUGACGCUGAGGCGCGAAAGCUAGGGGAGCGAACGGG
rnacentral:rRNA from 1 species